rnacentral:misc_RNA from 1 species
GAUGAAGAACGUAGCGAAAUGCGAUACGUAAUGUGAAUUGCAGAAUUCAGUGAAUCAUCGAAUCUUUGAACGCACAUUGCACUCUCUGGUAUUCCGGAGAGUAUGCUUGUUUGAGUAUCUGUAAACAUCUCAAAUCUCUCUUCAAUUGCUUCAAUUGGGUCGAGAGAAUUGGAUUUGAGCGAUCCCGACUCCUUCGUCAGAAAGAGGAGGGUCGCUUGAAAUGCAGGUGCAGCUGGACAUUCUUCUGAGCAAAAAGCAUAUCUAUUUAGUCCCGUCAAACGGAUUAUUACUUUUGCUUCAGCUAAUAUAAAGGUUGAAUGAACUACCAACGCUGAUUGCAGGAAAACAUGUUCGUUUAUUCGGACUUGUAAACUCGAUCUCAAAUCAAGUAAGACUACCCGCUGAACUUAAGCAUAUCAAUAGCGGAGGA